AGUAUAUCAGAAAGUUUGAAAGAUGGAAAAUGGGCAGGAUUUGGUGGAUGAAGAAAGCUGCAGCUUGAGACAUGCUCAGCUCUGCCAACCACCAAUGUGUUCUCUGUUUCUGUGAGUUCGCAUUUUUUAGAUUCCACAUAUAAGUGAGAUUAUGCAUUAUUUUUCUUUAUCUAACUUCUUUCACCUAGCAUAAUGCCCUCAAGGCUCAUCCGUGUUGUUGCAAAUGGCAGUAUUUCCUUUUUUGUGGUUGAAUAAUACACCACAUUUUCUUCAUCCAUUCAUCCAUCAGUGGACACUUAGGUUGUUUCCAUGUCUUGGCUAUGGUAAAUGAUGCUGCAGUGAACAUAGGGGUGCAGGUAGCUUUUUGAGAUAAUGAUUUUGUUUCAUUUGGAUAUAUUCCAAGAAGUGGAAGUGCUAGAUCAUAUCAUUGCUAUUUUUAAGUUUUUGCAGAAGUGAAAUAGUUUACCAAAGAAAUAUAAUUGUAUAUCAAUUGUUUAUUUAAAGAAAAAGCAGUAGAAAGAAAAGGAGAGAAUUCCCAUAACUAAUUUAAUUUUUGUGUGUGUGUGAGAAACAUUUGCCCUAAGCUAACAUCUGUUGCCAAUCCUCUUUUUUUUUCGGUUGAGGAAGAUUAUGCCUGAGCUAACAUCUGUACCAGUAUUCUUCUACUUUGUGUAUGGGAUGCCUCCACAGCAUGGCUGAUGAGUAGGUCCACACCUGGGCUCUGAAUAUGUGAACCCAGGCAGCCAAAGUGGAGCAUGUGGAACUUUAACCAGUGGGCCAUGGGGCUAGCCCCCUAACUAAUUUAAUUUUAAUAAAUGGAAGUAUUGAUGUUAAUAGCACCUAUUUGUGUUUGCAGGUGCCUGUGUGUGUGUAUACAUAUAUUAUCAAAGGGCUUUAGAUGCUCAUCAUCAUGGUGGCAUUUUUUUCCUAAUUCUUAAUGUGCAUAGGAAUCAAUGUGAAUAUUUUCCUGUAAUAUGGAUACUUUAAUAGUCUAGUGUAUUAAUUUUCUCCAUUCUGUUUCAUUUUUGAAAAACAUAAGUAAUUUACCCAUAUUGGUAACUUACCUGAGAGAUCAAAUGCCCCUCUAUAGAAUAAAAAUAUGGAAAACAGCAUAUGAAUUGAGUGGUCCAUCCUAAUGACAGAAUCUCUUUAUAUAUUCCUCCACUCCUAUUUUCCUGUCAUAUUCACCAUUUUUUUUUGCUGAGGAGGAUCUACCCUGAGGUAACAUCUGUGCCAGUCUUCCUCUCUUCUGUAUUUGGGUUGGCACCACAGCAUGGCCACUGAUGAGCGGUGUAGGUCUGCGCCCGAGAAUCGAACAUGGGCCACUGAAGCAGAACACACCUAACUUAACCACUAGGCCAGCCCCUGUGUGCACUGCUUAAUUUCCCUGCAUGCUAAGCCUUAAAGCCCAUCUUGUAUGACAUUUUUGAGGGCCUGCCAUUCAUUUGGAAUAUGGAGUGGUCACUUCAGCAGAUCUCUUCAAGUUGCAGGAAAGCCAAAUAAAAUUUUGAGCCACCAUUGAGAGUCCGUCUCAGUAAAUACCUCUCUUUGACUAGAUGUUGACUGUUUUGGAAAAUUAAAGUGUUUAGGACUUCGUGAAAGCAGGCUUUGUCAGAUAGCACUGUUUGUCUGUGGUUUUUUGGAAUAGCAAGCUACAGAUUUCUUUUAGAAUAACUCUUUAUUAAGAAAAAGCCAUUGGGGAGAAAGAGGGGGGAAAUGUAUAAAGAUCUUUAAUGAAAGCAGUGAAUUUUGGAUUAAAUUUGAAGAGAAAUACAUUAAGAAAUAAGUAAGGAAAAGACUAGAAAACAGUACAUGUAGACACACUUUAAAAAUGCCUCGUGCUAUAUAGGUAAAUUAUCCUAAAGAAAGGAAUUAUAAAAAUUGGAAAGAUGCUGGGGACGUGAGGACUUGAUAGAUCUUAAAUCUUCCUGGCAGGUGUUUUAAAAAAAAUUUUACGAUUGACUUUAUAUUUUUAUUUCAUU
rnacentral:lncRNA from 1 species